rnacentral:rRNA from 1 species
UACGUAGGUGACAAGCGUUGACCGGAAUUACUGGGCGUAAAGAGCGCGCAGGCGGUCGGUCAAGUCGAGGGGGAAAGCCCCCGGCUCAACUGGGGAGGGUCAUUCGAUACUGAUCGACUCGAAGGCAGGAGAGGGUAGUGGAAUUCCCGGUGUAGUGGUGAAAUGCGUAGAUAUCGGGAGGAACACCAGUGGCGAAGGCGACUACCUGGCCUGUUCUUGACGCUGAGGCGCGAAAGCUAGGGGAGCAAACGGG